GNAGGGGGCAAGCGUNAUCCGGAUCUACUGGGUGUAAAGGGAGCGCAGGCGGUGCGGCAAGUCUGAUAUGAAAGCCCGGGGCUCAACCCCGGGACUGCAUNGGAAACNGUCGUACUNGAGNAUCGGAGAGGUAAGUGGAAUCCCUAGUGUAGCGGUGAAAUGCGUAGAUAUUAGGAGGAACACCAGUGGCGAAGGCGGCCAACUGGACUUUUACUGACGCUGAGGCNCGAAAGCGUGGGGAGCAAACAGGAUGAGAUACCCUGGUAGUCCACGCGGUAAACGAUGAAUACUAGGUGUCGGGGCACAUAAGUGCUCCGGUGCCGCAGCAAACGCAAUAAGUANUCCACCUGGAGAGU
rnacentral:rRNA from 1 species